UCUCCUGGAAACGGGUGGUAAUGCCGGAUGCUCCAGUUGGAUGCAUGUCCUUCUGGGAAAGAUUCAUCGGUAUGGGAUGGGGUCGCGUCCUAUCAGCUUGAUGGCGGGGUAACGGCCCACCAUGGCUUCGACGGGUAGCCGGCCUGAGAGGGCGACCGGCCACAUUGGGACUGAGAUACGGCCCAGACUCCUACGGGAGGCAGCAGUGGGGAAUAUUGCACAAUGGGCGCAAGCCUGAUGCAGCGACGCCGCGUGCGGGAUGACGGCCUUCGGGUUGUAAACCGCUUUUGACUGGGAGCAAGCCCUUCGGGGUGAGUGUACCUUUCGAAUAAGCACCGGCUAACUACGUGCCAGCAGCCGCGGUAAUACGUAGGGUGCAAGCGUUAUCCGGAAUUAUUGGGCGUAAAGGGCUCGUAGGCGGUUCGUCGCGUCCGGUGUGAAAGUCCAUCGCUUAACGGUGGAUCCGCGCCGGGUACGGGCGGGCUUGAGUGCGGUAGGGGAGACUGGAAUUCCCGGUGUAACGGUGGAAUGUGUAGAUAUCGGGAAAGAACACCA
rnacentral:rRNA from 1 species